AUUGAACGCUGGCGGCAGGCUUAACACAUGCAAGUCGAACGAGUGGAGGACGGGUGAGUAAUGCUUGGGAAACUAGCUUAUGUAGGGGGAAAACUACGGGAACCUGUCGCUACUACCGCGUACCAUAGGAUGAGACGAAGUGGGAUUAGGUAGUUGGUGAGGUAAAGGCUCACCAAGACGACACUCUCUAGCAGGUCGGAGAGGAUGACCGGCCACACUGGGACCGAGACACUGCCCAGACGCCUACGGGAGGCAGCAGUGGGGAAUAUUGCGCAAUGGGCGUAAGCUGACGGAGCCAUGCCGCGUGAGUGAAGAAGGCCUUCGGGUUGUAAAGUUCUUGCGGUAGCGAGGCGUUAACUACAGAAGAAGCACCGGCUAACUCCGUGCCAGCAGCCGCGGUAAUAC
rnacentral:rRNA from 1 species